rnacentral:lncRNA from 1 species
GGUUGCCAUGUCAACAAGGAGCGGAAUGCUAUAACUUCUUGGUGUGUUUGAACGCCAAGGAUUUUAGGUUAUCAGGUUAUCAAAGAGGCUGUGCUCUGAUACCAUGUGAAAACCUGCUAUGUAACUUGUUUUCAUUAAUUGAGUUGAAAGUAAUUGGUACAAAGAGAGACUUAUACAAAUACAUGGAUCAAUCAAGAUCCUGAAAUUAAGGCAUAUACAAGUUAUUACGUGAGUUAGCCCAGGUUUGGUACUGAAGUGAUUCUGAAAAAAAAAAAAAAGUGGGUAUAAAAAAAAACUAGGAGUUUUUUUAUGUUUGGUAAACAUUCAGCUUCAGCUUUUUUU